rnacentral:rRNA from 1 species
UACAGAGGGUGCAAGCGUUAAUCGGAGUUACUGGGCGUAAAGCGCGCGUAGGUGGUUUAUUAAGUUUCGUGUGAAAGCCUCGGGCUCAACCUGGGAACUGCAAGGAAUACUGAUAAGCUAGAGUAUGGUAGAGGUCAGUGGAAUUUCCGGUGUAGCGGUGAAAUGCGUAGAUAUCGGAAGGAACACCAGUGGCGAAGGCGACUGACUGGGCCAAUACUGACACUGAGGCGCGAAAGCGUGGGUAGCGAACAGG